AACUGAAUCAACUGCGUAACAUGGUCACGGACAUUUCAUGCACUACUAAGAGUCUGGUCCUGAGACUAAUGCUAUGCACGAAGAGACUCGUAACAGAUCUGACUGAAGAGAAUGUUGAAGUCAGCUCAAUUUCUGAGGUACUCAAGGAAGAUGUGCAGCUGAUAUGGGAUAACUUCUUGAGCUGUAAACGUUUUCUAACAAGAAAUUGCAUGUUGUAAAUCAAUGAUCACUUUCUAUGCGACGUGUACAUAUCUGUCUACAUCCUGAGUUUUACGUUCAACUUUCGGCAUUGUUUGAUGAAUAAUUAGUAACUGUUCUAAUGAUUUCUUGCAAUCCUGCUAGCUAUGUGUAUCUUGGAUAGUUGAUGGUUAAUGAAAUUUUUGCGAUUUUACAUUUUGAUGACUUCAUUGCCAGUUAAUGCUUCGGCUCAGGUGCUUUCUUACAACACAAGACCUUUAUAUAAAAGAACUAAUCUGCUUUUUGCUAUAUGAUUGUUCUGGAUUGCACACUGUUGAAAAUAUAUACAAAUAGACAGGGAAUUCGUUUAGGUUAAACUAUUGGAAUUGACGAAUUUCGGACCACUGUCUCGCCUUGCUAGAAUGGAACUUGUAGGGAGAGAUUUGUGCGGGGAAAUUCCACCAAGGAAUUUCGGCUAGGGAAACAAAGGAAUGGCUGCUCUAUUUCUCUACCCCUAACCCUCCCCAUAUGGCCUCUAUUAUAGUGGUCAUGUAAGGCUUAGGCUGUAGAAGAAUAUGCUUGCUCACCAAGCCAAAUCCCACCAUCCUUGGCAUAUUCAAAGGGAGAAUAUCUUGGUUAUCAAUGAUAUUUCCUUAGAAAUAUUAUUCCAAUCCACCUACUAAUUUGGGUGGAUAUUUAUUUAAUUAAUAUUAAAUAACUCUAACACACACAAGACACAACCAAUUCUUCACUUACACCUACACUUCUAUUCCUAAAGUUAUUGUUGAAUUGUAAUCUUAUCUUGGCCCAAGAUAAUUGAUCCGGCCCAUAUACAAAGAAAGAUCCAUGCAUAUGCUAGAGAGUUAUAGCAAAUUCAAAUUGGUGGAAUUCAUGCAUAAAUAUCUAAGGCUUUUUGUAGAAAGAUCUAGAAUCUUGUACAAUUGUGUGGUUGUUAAGCAUUAACUAGAAAGUUCUAGCAAUGUCAAAGUGGCAAACCUUGCCUAUAAAUAGGUGAGGUGCUA